ensembl:lncRNA
UUUCCCAGUUGUGAUUAAUUACCCAUAAAAAUAUAUAAAUAUGUCAUUUUUAAUAUUCUGCUUUUCCACUGGCUUCCUUAAUAUAUCUUGGCAAUGCAUUUUAUAGGUUAAUUAAUUGUAAUUGUAAUUAAAUUCAACUGCAAUUAAAAAUGUUUUCUUUAACUGCUGUCAUAUGUUGUGAAACUGGGACACAGGAAUUCUGGUUUUAACAUUUUUUCUACGUUUCAUUACAUUUACAUUCUAAUUCAUUCUCUUCUCUAUCGUUAUCCUGGUUAGACUUUAUACCGAACAACACAAGCCUUAAACAUAUUUUUGACAAUCUUUUUGUGUAAAAGUUUAGGUACAGAGAAUAUAAAUCUGUUAUGUGGUUCUAACUUCUUUCUAGGCAAUAGCUUUUGUUUGCCUGACAUAUAUAGCUGCCUUUAUGGUCUGUGUGUAUAUACACUAAACCAGGAGACUGACCAUCAAGGGUUAAACUGUAACUUACGCCCUCUUAAGAACAGAAGAGGAAGCAGUAAUAUAUAACAACAUGUCAGGUUCUGGUUUGUAUGAAGACAGAUUUCUGCAUUUAGUGUGCAUUUUAUAAGAUAAAAUUAUUUAAGAAAUAGAAUAGAUAGUAUGCUUACUGUACUACUUACACAACAAAAUAUAUUCCUAAUUUCUUAUGACUCAGAAGAGUUCAGCCAAUAAGUUUAGUUGCUCACAUAUAUGUGUGUUUGGAAAAAAUAUUGUUAUUUGCAAGCCUAUUUGCAUUAAUUUUGUCCUCUUUCUAUUCCUGGUCUUUUAAGGGAAGUGAGAAGCUUUCUGUCUCUGUCAGUUCAAGGAGGUGGGCCUUCUGCUUACUCAGGAGUUUAACAGAACAGCAUUUCCCCCAAGGAAGUAACAAAAAAGAUGCAGUUUUAUUUUAGCUGGUUUUACUUUUAUGUUCUCUUUUGCCUCAAGGUUGUGAAAUAAAAUAGUCUGUAAAUGAGGACUUCUUGAAUAUUCAAUAGAGUCUAAUAAGUAUACGUUUAGAUACCAAAUACAUUAUUUUAAAGUGUUUUGUGAAAAUAUAUCUCCUGAGCUCUGGUAAGGCUGCAUCUUGAGUACUGUGUUCAGUUUUGGGCCCCUUGCUACAAGAAAGACACUGAGGCCCUGGAAUGUGUCCAGAGAAGGGCAAUGAAGCUGUGAGGGAUCUGGAGCACAAAUCUUUUGAGGAGCAGAUGAGUGAGCUGGGGUUGUUUAGUCUGGAGAAGAGGAGGCUCAGGGAUGACCUUACUGUCUUCUACAUCUACCUGAAAGGAGAUUGUGGGAAGGUGGGAAUCAGCCUCCACCCAGGUAACAGUGAUGGGACUAGAGGGAAUGGCCUGAAGUUGCACCAGGGUUCAGGUUGGAUAUUAUGAAAAACUUCGUCUCUGAGAGAGCAGGCAGGCAAUGGAACAGGAUGCCCAAGGAGGUGAUUGAGUCACUGUCCUUGGAGGUGUACAAGAAACAUUUAGAUGUACUGAGGAACAUGGUUGAGUGGGCAACAUCUGUGGUAGGUGGAUGGUUGAGCUAGAUAGUCUUAGAGGUCUUUUCCAGCCUUAAUGAUUCUACGAUUUACACAACUCUGUAAUGUAUUCUGCAUUUUCUAUGUGCCAUUUUUGUACAAAUUAAUUACAUUUGCCAAUUUUUCUUUGCAGGAAGGUUGAAGGUGGAGGACUUUAUGAUAACUCAUAUGGAAUUAUGUUGGGUAUUUUUGUAAAAAAACAAAACAAAACAAAACCACCACCACUCCCGCUUUGGAAUUUAAUUGAAUACAUGCUUUGUUCAAAUCCCUCCUUCUUUCUUAUGGACAGUUUGGACUAGUUAACAUUCAGAGUUUUAUUUAGUUACCAUACAUACUUGUCUAGUGCCAUUUGAGACGCCCAAGAGUAUUCUUGCUUGUUGCCAACUGCUGCAGGAAAAUGGUACAAGCUUACAUAGGUAUCCUGCCAUGCCUGUACAGAGCUAACAUAUCUCUGAAUAACAGCCUUGCUAGGUUGCAUUAAGAAUCUACAUUCUGACAAGCAGACCCUUCCUAAAUAUCAUUUGCAUUGAUGGACCUAGUCACACAGGGACAACCUGCAUUUGCAGGAGGUUGUCACGUAAUUCCAUGCUGUCCAAGCGCAAAAGGACAAACUAGUUCUGACAUUAUUCAUCAUUCAUUUUGUUUUGGAAAUCUGUGAACUGUGAUAGAAAUGUAGCAUCUCUUUAGAUGCCAUGCAUUUAUUUUAGCAACGGUGAGAAACUUUCUAUAAUUUUCCUAGUGCAAAUAGAAUAUGACUCAUCAUCUUCAGAGACUAGUUCAAAGUUUAGGCUUUCUUCCUGGUUUUUAUUACACUUAAGACCACGACUGAGCACUGUACCACUUGACAUAUGUUGUUCGUUCUUAUGUGGAUUUUUUUCUAUCUUCACCUUUCUUCCACGAAGGCCAACUGUUCUGUUGUGUUUGCUCCUAAAACAGCAUGGCAAAUAAACGUUAUUCUUUGUGAUGGAAGUUACUGGGAGAAGUAGCUGAGAUUUUUUGGUAAGAAGUUAAUUUAAUAAACAUAGAAGCGUUAAAUCCCAAGUGCUAAAAUUAAAUUUGUGUAGUAUGUGAGGCCUCUCAGGGCACAAAGACCAGAAAAUUAAUAGCAGCAGUAGCUGCUAACAUGGAAAAAGAAAGCCACGAGUGGAAAAAGAGCAAACUGGAAGUUCUUUGUCCUCCUUUCCAGCCCUCAGUUCUCAGAAUUUUGUUUGGCAAGGAAAGCAGGGAAUCUGUCUGACUUUCAAAUAAUUACUGACGUAUUACUCCAUUGCAGGCAAGUAGCAAAGAGCAGCUGCUUAUUGCAGCCGGAGCCAAACUCUCCCUCUGCCAUCCCCCAUUUCUUCCUGCCUUCCCUGGAGAAAGCUAUCUCGCUGUUAAGUAAACUAGGAUUGGUUUGCAAGGUACAUUAAGAUUACAUUAGAAAAAUAUUUACUUACGUAUAAAGGAGCCUUUUAAAAAAUCUUCACUGCUUAGGAAACAACGUGAUUUUGUGGGUAAAAAAUAAAAACAGAUUUGUUACUCUACAGUUGUAAAGCUGCCAUCUUUUACGAGCCUGGGAAGAGUGACCUUAUUCAUUGUAAGCUUGUGCCAAUUCUGCCUCCACGCAACUAUGCUCUUCCUGAUUCAUGGGACUUAUCUGGGCCGUGCUUAACAGGUCUGCUGCCUGACAAUAAAGGAGUUGAUGAUGAUUUUUGGCUCAUUGACAAACUCUCCUUCAUUUUGCAACAUUCCUUACAAGGUUUAACCGAAAAUUAAGAUUUCUUGAGAGAGAAAAUGCCUGUAACAAAUUAAAAAAUAACAAAAUAAAACAACAGAAUAACCAAGAACCACAACAACAACCUGUAAGAAAUCAAUAUCAAAUCAUUGCCAUUUAUACUGAGCCUAUACCGUUGCAAUAAAAAGGUCCUUCAAUGUUCUUGUCUUAAAUAAGUGAAUAAGUAAAUAAUAAUUAUCUGCAAUGCUACCUGAAUACUGAAAGCUCAUGAUUUCUCCGUUUAUGUCCACAUUGAAGAUGAAUAUAAAACUGAAUUCCUGAGUACUUUUAUUCAUUUAUGAACUUUCAUCAGAAAAAAAAAAAGUAUGUGUGCGUGGAGGAGUGUUGCUCAAGUUGCUCUUUAAGCAAUUCACAUGAUGACUCCCCGAAUUCCUCCUGAUAGUUCAUUAGAGACGAUGAGUCCCUGUAUUCCUCCUGAUGCUUCAUUAGAGAUGCUGUCUUCCUCCCUUGUUAGGCACUAGUGAGUAGUUGCCGUGCUCCACCCUGCUGUGCAGUGUUGGAGGAAGCAACCUGUACGUGUUACUUGUGCUCUGUCCUCUGUUGAGAUUUAAGGAAUGCUAAUGGCUGUGUGAAAAUUUCAUGUCUUGCACCCAGAAGGAUACCGUGGGGGACUGCGUGUUGUAGCUCCUGGAAUUCAUGGCUGCUGAUGUGGAGUCUGUGCAACUGAUCAUGAUAAAUCUUUCACACCAAACAAAUCUUUCUACAUGAAGAAUAUCUUUAAAACAAUUACUCUAUGUACAAUUUUGUUUUGCAUUUGGAUGGAAGCUUGAAGAAAUAUAUUUAGGUAAUAUUUAUUUAAAUGUUAAAUGAAAUAACAAGUAAAUCCAUGUCAUGAGUGCAUUUACACAGAUGUGGAAUUAAUAAAUCAUCUGAUUUUCCAAUUCCCUAAUCUGGAAAUCUUUCCACGGGGAAAGAAAAACAUUUAUUGAAGUGCAAAAUGCCAUAUCCUCUGACAAAGAGAACAAACAAAAGUCUUGAGAAAGAUGAAGAGUAUGACACGUCUAUUUCUAAGCCUGGUGCAAAACUGAAGCAAACCGACCUUCAGACUUGACUUAGGGAGACAACAUUUAGAUGAUAAAUCAGUCUGGUUUCUUGGCCUCUUUGAU